AGACGGGUGCCCUCCACCCACUCCUCCUGGUCGCGCGGACCUCUCCCGCGGAGCCCUGGAUCUGCAUUCCUUUGAGUUUACCACGGACUUGGGGCGGGAUCAAAGGGAAAGUGGCCCGAGCCUGUUUAAUCAAGGACUUGUGGACCGAAACCAAGGCUGGGGGCGGCGGAGGGCACGCGGGUGAGGGGCCCAGACCGAGUAAGGGCCGGUCCUGGGCGCCGCGCCCUCCCUUAGUGCCGGGUGCCGAGGCCGGGAGCGCCGGAGCGCUGCACUGAUCCGUGAUUCUGCCUGAGGGCGGGCCCGGGUGCGCUCCGGCGCGGGGAGACACCAGCGAGGCCAGCCUUUCCACGGGAGGCUACUUAGCGCUUGUGACCAUAUUUGGUCUGGCGAGGAGGCAUCUCGGCUGUUUGGCUUUCAAUUGUCUGCUCGUGCGCAGACGGUGCCCAGAAAGUGCCUCUGUCGCUAGGGAUGCGGCUUCGCCAGCUGGUUCAUUGUAAACAACCUUCAAACCAUUUAUCAAUCCUUGUUUUCCUCUCCAGGGUGACUCAAGUCACUAGGGGUUGAGAAGAAACCUGGUCAAAGCUUGGGCGCUGGAAAGGGACAGCGAUCGUGCCCCCCUCUCCCGCGACAUCCGCGCGGGUAGUGGGAGGAUUGGAAUGUCCCUGACGCCCUCCAGAGAGCCUGGAGCCGGGAUGGAACCGGAACAGGUGGCUGGGAGCAGAGAGGGUGCGCCAGUGACCCGGAAAAAACCACCCACCCUCCCACCGACUGGAUCUAGGCGAGGGGUGGAGACCCCCUGCUAGAUCUAGACUGGCAAGACAGCUGCGGGAAGUAGGAGGCGGCCUGGUCCUCCGGAGCAGCUCAGUUCCUUCUUUCCUUGUCCCUUCUCCAUUGGGGAGAAGGGGAGAGUGGCUGCGAGGUAAGUCAGGCUUCAGAAAGUCCCUACCCGACCCCAUUUGAUUCAAACAUAAGUUUAUGAAAUAAGUCAUAUGAGGCGAUAUAUGUAAAGCACUUUGAAGACAUACCUGCCUACAUACCUCUUUGUUAAAUAAAAUAGAAUUGUAUCAAGUGCAAGUAUUGUGCCUUCACAGUUUUAUAAGGGUGGAACAAAGUCAAAAUUAAAAUCUGGAGUUGCUUUGAAGGAGGAAAGUUUAUGGGAAAGACAAGGCCACCCCAUAGGUUUUUUUUUUGGUUUUUUUUUUUAAUUUAAUUUAAUUUUUUUUUUUUUUUUGCGGUACGCGGGCCUCUCACUGUUGUGGCCUCUCCCAUUGCGGAGCACAGGCUCCAGACGCGCAGGCUAAGCGGCCAUGGCUCACGGGCCCAGCCGCUCCGCGGCAUGUGGGAUCCUCCAGGACCGGGGCACGAACCCGUGUCCCCUGCAUUAGCAGGCGGACUCUCAACCACUGCGCCACCAGGGAAGCCCCACACCCCAUAGUUUUGCUUUGGAAAAGAUGGGAAAAUCAAGACUGCCUGAGAGAGAACGACAGUCAUGUGGAUCACUGUCAAAGGGAGGUGUGGAAGUUUCUGCUUCUGUAAUUUUGGGAGAUCUGAGCCAUGCUGGGGAAACCACGUGCAGAGGAAGAGGCCCUGAGAUAGGUGGAGACAGGGAGAACUCCAGCCAUCCAGCACCAGAGCUGAGCCCAGCCCCCAGCCGGCCCAACAGCUGACUGCAAGGGCAUCAGUGACCAGCAUCAAGACCAGUAGAACCAGAGCCCAGCCCAGCCCAGCCCAGAUUGUAGAACAAAUAAAAUGAAUAUUGUUUUAAGCUACUAAAUUUUCAAAUUUUUUUUUAAAUGCAGAAUGGGCAUUCUAAAGAUUAAAUAAGAAAUUACAAAUAAAGUUCUUAACACAAA